ACUCCCCCUCCUCUUUGGCCCAGAGCAGUGGGCUUUUCUCAACCGCAGAAGUUAGGUGACAAAGCAAGAGUUCCUCCCUCCAGUAACUGCUUGCUCCGGGAGUCACUGGGACUCUAGGAUCAGGUGGCUUUCCAGGUCCCCAGGGGAGAGAGGAAGACGCUGAAAGGACCUGGCCAACAGCCCCAGAUCUGAGGUGCUGGCUCCUGACCGAGGUGGUUCUUCGUUCUUGCCUGAGCUUCUUCUGGACAAGCCCUACCCAGAGGAUGGCCACGCCCUGAGCUCCACCGCAGGGCUCUUCCUUGACACCGGAGGUCCCUGAUGGGAGCACAGGAUGGACUCGGACCAGGCAGGCUCCCCCACCAACCACACCACACGCCCGUCACAGAGCUGGACCACAACUCUUCCUUCUUCACACAGUUGUCUGGGAGUCUCUAAAAUUAAACCUCUCUCAGACACACACGCACACACACACACUUUGCUUUAAAUGUCCUCAGAAUAGAACUCCUCUUUGCUUUCAGGGAAAAGUUCAAAGCUUUAAAUGGCUUGCAAAGCCCUUUGGAUUUGACCUCUUGCCCUUAACACUCUCCACACCCCAGCCCCUUGGCGCUUCUUUGGGUCCCUUGAGCAACGAAGCUCUUUUCUCCUCAGACGCCAGCAGACUGGGUCUCUCCCCCUCCUCUUCCUCCACUCCGAGCAGAGUCCGCUUCUUACCAUCCCUCAGGUGCGUGCUCAGUCGCUAAGUCGUGUCCGACUGUUUGCGACCCCAUGAACUAUAGCCCUCCAGGCUCCUCUGUCCGUGGGAUUUCCCAGGCAAGACUAUCAGAGUGGGUUGCCAUUUCUUUCUCCAGGGGAUCUUCCUAACCCAGGGAUCAAACCCAGGUCUCCUGUGUCUCCUGCAUUGGCAGGCAAACUGUGCCACCUGGGAAGUCCCAAUCCUUCAGGUGUCACUUCAGUAU
ensembl:lncRNA